UACGGAGGGUGCAAGCAUUAAUCGGAUUUAUUGGGCGUAAAGGGCGCGUAGGCGGUCCGGAUAGUCAGAUGUGAAAUCCUGGGGCUCAACCCCAGAACAGCAUUUGAAACUCCCGGACUAGAGGAUAGGCGGAGAAAAUAGAAUUCCACAAGUAGCGGUGAAAUGCGUAGAUAUGUGGAAGAAUACCGGUGGCGAAGGCGGUUUUCUAGCUUAUUCCUGACGCUGAGGCGCGAAAGUAAGGGGAUCAAACAGG
rnacentral:rRNA from 1 species